UAAAUCACACAUGAACAGCUCAUGGAGGAUGGUGACUUCACCAGCGUCUGAUCUCCUCACUUGUCUCAUGGCUGCCCAAGUUCCUUUUUAGCAUGUUUUUGGUUUUCUUGGCUUUCUGUACAGCGGCCUUAUAGAUGCCCUGUUCAGCAGUUCCUUCAAGAGAAAGUAGGUGCAUUUCUCUGAGCAGCUACAAGUAUUCGUUUUAAUUAGAACAAGGUGUUUUGUGUGGUGCUAACGAAGGACCUGAUCUUGUGCCACAGAAGCCAAUGGAGCUGUGUCUGAAGUGUCUUCAGCGUGCCUCGCCUGACUGUGGUGGUGGCAAGAGGGCCAAGUCGGAGGUCCGGGCCGCUGGAAGUUACAGACAAAUUAAACUUGUUCCUUAGGCUAGCUGACCUGUCUCUGUGUAUCAAGAGGACAGCUCGCAGCAGUAGCACCUGCAAAACCACUGUGGAGCGGCUGGGUGACAACAUGAGGCACAGGAUCUGAGAACGCGUUUUAGGAGUAGACUGUGCAGCUUUUCCAGCGGGAGUGUCCGUGUGGCUUCCAGUUGUGCCUCCUCUGUGGAUGGGGAGCGUGCUGUAAGGGGCAAGACUGGCAAGGCGCCAUUUGAGGGCCGCACCAGGAGGGGGACCAAGGGCAACUCUUCCUUCUCCUUCCGCGACAGAAUGCUGUGUGGGCCAAGAACACUUUAGAGGUACAGCCAAGAAACGCGGCUGCCUGUCCCUGUUGAUCUCGCGAGCUUGCGGGACCUGAGGGUUGUAGCCAGAGUCAGUGUUUUUCCCAGGGGUACAAGAAGGUGUGAUCGUGUCUGAGAGCACCAUUCACGACCCUGGCUAGGGAUGGGACCUUGGUGUGGGGGCGGUGGAUAUAAGCGUCCUUGGGAUUUUAUUCAUAGGGAUGUUUGCAAGAGUGUCCCACGCCUGCAUCUCAGCAUCGGUGGCGUCUGUGCAGAAAGAGGUGGUGCAUGGGGCGGGGGGGACAGCAGCGUCUCCCCCUCCCCUGUGCCUGCUCCUCUUGCUUUGAUGCCACCUGCCCCAGCUCUGGCUUUUGAUGACUGGUUUCUUGUUUGCUGGCUCUGUUGUCUGUGUCGGUCUGCAAAGUACUUUUUGCAAAGUGGCCACCCUAAGAGCAGGCCAGCUGUGCAAACUGAGAGGGAAACUGUGCGUUUGCACCAGAGGGUUGGCAGGGCAUUUCUGAAGGAAGGGGUGUGUUUUACUGUUCAUGUCACACCGCUGUGCCCUCAGAGAGCCCCCUCGUCACCUGCCUACAGUACGCAGGGCACACCUCUCGUGUCUUUAAUCAAGACUUGUGAGGUGGGGCUGUGACUGGGUGGGUUCGGGGCUGUUUCUGUGGGUGCCGUUCUGGGCGGUCAGGACACGCAGCGACAUUGAGCCCUGUGGGCUCCAGCUCUCCCAGCGAAUGCUGGCGCGGCGUCAGCCCUCACCAGCCAGCUCUGCUCCAGACAGCUCCUGCUAUGGCAGGCAGCCAGCUCACCCUGGGGUCAGCUGUCCACAGACACACUGCACACCGACACCCACUGGGGAGCAGGGGGUUUAAUAGUGUGGAUAUACUAUUUGCUCUCUAACCUCAGGGCCAGGGGACAGUCCCAGGCAUGUUUAAUUGACUGAUAAAGUGGUGGCCUCCAUGGAGUUCCUGAAGACUUAAUUUCUGUUAAGUUGAUAUUAUUACAAACCGAGCCAUUCUGAAAGAAGAAUCUUCCCUAAAUCAUGUGGAAUAUGUCGUGACUGUGCCACCAGACCCGAGAGGUUUCCCAUUGUCUAUGGGAGCUUACAUUACCAGCCUCCUUGCAGAGGAGAAAGAUGGGCACUUGCUAAUACACACAUCCAGUUCUUCUGUUGUUUCAAAGCCAGUGUUCUUUGAAAGGCUUUGUUUUGUUGCUUGCAGUAAGUAAGUAAAUUGCCGCAAUGAUCCUGCUUCAUGCAUGGGGGAAUUCUGUCUUGGACCAUCCUGAUGAGGGUAAAAAUCUGGUGAGUCCAUUUCUUCAACUUUUUGACCUAAAUGGGGGGCAGAGGCAAAAGGCAAGGGAAGAGGUGACGUGGUCCCCCCAUUUCUGCUGGGUCACCAGCACUAUCGGAGCAACGAUGGUGUCUCCCUGAAAUCCCAUGUAAGUGCCAGUCCCCAACUUCAGCACUGGUGUGGCAUGCAAAUGCAGUAAAGUCGUUCUGAGUACACACUGUACCUUGUCUUCCCAGGAGUUUGCCAAACUCAGAAUGAAUAUCAAAAGGAUUCUGGAUGAGAGUCUGAAAUGAGAGCAUGGGCUGGUGAAAUGCUUGGUGAGGAAAAACCUGGGAGAAGAGUGGGAAAGAGGACUAUUCCUGGCCUGAACGGAAGGGAGGAACAACCUAUAAUGUGGCAUAUAAAGAGGGACCUGGCGCUUGGAUUGGAGGCAGGUGCUACUGUGACAUCCCUCCUCCAUGACAGAGGGGAGGCGACUGUGUAGGAUGGAACCCGGAAGGAAAAUCGUCUAUCAGUCCCUUCCAUCGUACUCCCUUUGCUGUCAGCAAAUGCAGUACAUGCACACCACCGCUGGUCACUGGCCCUGUAACUUAUGAAGAAUCUUUAUUUUCAGUCUUUUUUUGGGAAAAAAGUUUACCUUGUCCUUUUAAAACAUUAGAUUAUAAGAUGGCAAGAGGUUAUACAGUACACUUGGUAAAUGUUUUCAUGUUACUUCAGUGCCAUUUCUUCUGCUUGCCUGAGUGUUUAAGAAGGAAUUUAUUUUGGCAGAGUUACCUAUUUAUUAAUCCCUAAGCAGGAAGGGCAGGUAUAACCUACUUCAUAGGAAGACCUCAGGCCAUGGUCUCGUCUCUUUCUCGAGGCUCACAGGAAAACGGCGGUAUCAGCCGCCUCCUGGCUGAGGCGCGUGGCUGUGUGGAGCUGCAGAGGCCUCCUCACGACAGAACCGCUGCCCAACCUUGCCGUGUCUCUUCAGAAACACUGAAAGAGGGUGACACGUGCAGCAUCAUGGCACAACUGGUGGCAGAGGCGAGUGACUUACAGCCAUAGCAGCUCCUUCAGCGCCAGCCUCGCAAAGGCUACCCCCACGUCCACUGCCACCUGAGACCUCAGCUGUUAGCAAGGCUGUACGGCGUUAUCGGUUGAUGGUAACGAUGACAUGCGGGCAUAAAACAGAGACCCCCAGAUCCUCCUUGUGCCACCCGAGUACUUAUUUCUGCUCGCCUUCUGAAUUCAGUCAAGGUCUGCAUUCCAAGGGGCAAAAAACUCUUUCAGUCUUGCACAGCUAGGAGACAGAUUUCUAUUUUAACCAGGGAAACCAGCUGGUUUCUCAAUCUCAGAAAGCUGUAGUGGCAUGUGGUAAAGCCCAUCUUCCUCCACUGCAGAGGAACCAGACCAAAAUGUGUUAGCUUGUUAGAUGCUGAAGAAUGAACAUUUUUGUGCAGGUUCUGUAGCGUGUGGAAAUACGGUAGCUGCCGCUCCUUGUAAAAUGGACAUUUCACAUUGCAGCAGCUCCUAAAUUACCUGUGCAACAACUGUUCUUAAAAAAAGCUAGGCUGAAAAUUGUCAUUCUUCCUUUUGCAUAAUACAUCUAAUGCUCUUGUCAUAUUACAGUGAAAUGUACUUUUAUUUUUGUAUCUGGUAACAGGAGCUACUUCACCUUGGUUCAACUGUCAUCUCUUGGCUCAUUUCACUGCAAUAAAAAUGAGACUUUCGA